rnacentral:rRNA from 1 species
UACAGAGGGUGCGAGCGUUGUUCGGAAUUAUUGGGCGUAAAGGGCGCGUAGGCGGGCUGUCAAGUCUGGGGUGAAAUCCCACGGCUCAACCGUGGAACUGCCUUAGAUACUGACGGCCUCGAGGGAGAUAGGGGCGAGCGGAACUGUGAGUGGAGCGGUGAAAUGCGUUGAUAUUCACAGGAACUCCGGUGGCGAAGGCGGCUCGCUGGAUCUUUUCUGACGCUGAGGCGCGAAAGCUAGGGGAGCAAACGGG